GACGACAUAGUAGCCUAUCCGUUCAUUUUUCUUCCUCGCGACAGAGCUAGGGCACGCGAAGAUCUCCCGGCGCCACCUCCUCCUUCUUUCUUCUUUCACCGGCCGACGCAACGACGGCAAGCAAUUCCAGGCGGCAAGCUUCGGCUUCGAUCAUCCACCUCACCGGAGGGGUUCUUCGGUGAGAUUCUUCACCUUCCGGCGUUCUUCUUUCACUGCUUCCUACUAGGGUUCAGGCGGAAGAGGCAGAGGAGCGGCGACUGUUCAUUCCAGCACAGCACCUUCUCACAGCCGGUUGCUUGGUUGUUGUUCAUUGGUUCCGGGGGUUCUGGAGCUGGACGUUUCAUGUGACAACAGGGAGGGUUAGAAGAGACGAAGUUUGCACUCAUCUCCUUUAUCCAACAGAUCUUUUCCCAGUAGUAGAUCUUCUUCCGAGCAGCAGCUUCCUUCCAACAUUAGUUUGAUCUUCAUGUGUUGGUUGUGUUGAUUUGGUUAGGCAUUGGUUUAUUUCUGUGGAUUGUUAUUGUUGAAUGUGAAAUGCUUGUAUUGAUUUGAACUCCCUAUGCUUAGAUUGCAUACACUUUAGCUAGUUUGAUUUUCGCACGCAACAUGUUCGAUUAAAUAUCCCAACACCUUUUGUUAUUUCAAUUGUUGCA